GAUGAACGCUGGCGGCGUGCCUAAUACAUGCAAGUCGAGCGAACAGACGAGGAGCUUGCUCCUCUGACGUUAUCGGCGGACGGGUGAGUAACACGUGGAUAACCUACCUAUAAGACUGGGAUAACUUCGGGAAACCGGAGCUAAUACCGGAUAAUAUAUUGAACCGCAUGGUUCAAUAGUGAAAGACGGUUUUGCUGUCACUUAUAGAUGGAUCCGCGCCGCAUUAGCUAGUUGGUAAGGUAACGGCUUACCAAGGCAACGAUGCGUAGCCGACCUGAGAGGGAGAUCGGCCACACUGGAACUGAGACACGGUACAGACUCCUACAGGAGGAAGCAGUCGGGAAUCUUCCGCAAUGGGCGAGAGCCUGACGGAGCAACGCGGCGUGAGGGAUGAUGGUCUUCGGAUCGUAAAACUCUGUUAUUAGGGAAGAACAAAUGUGUAAGUAACUAUGCACGUCUUGACGGUACCUAGUCAGAAAGCCACGGCUAACUACGUG
rnacentral:rRNA from 1 species